rnacentral:ncRNA from 2 species
GGGUGUCACUAGGGGAGCCUGACGGCUGAGAUUGGAUCUGCGAGAUCCUAGACCCUCUGAACCUGAUCUGGGUGAUGCCAGCGUAGGGAAGUGGAGAGCGUAGACA